rnacentral:rRNA from 1 species
CCUCAAAUCAGGUAGGAUUACCCGCUGAACUUAAGCAUAUCAAU